rnacentral:rRNA from 1 species
CCUACGGGUGUCAGCAGUGAGGAAUCUUGGUCAAUGGCCGUAAGGCUGAACCAGCCAAGUCGCGUGAAGGAAGAAGGAUCUAUGGUUUGUAAACUUCUUUUAUAGGGGACUACAGGUAUCCGCGUGUGGGUAUUUGCAUGUACCCUAUGAAUAAGCAUCGGCUAACUCCUUGCCAGCAGCCGCGGUAAGACGGAGGAUGCGAGCGUUAUCCGGAUUUGUUGGGUGUAACGGGUGCUUAGGUUGUUGUUUAAGUAAGCGGUGAAAGUUUGUGGCUUAACCAUAAAAUUGCCGUUGAAACUGGAAGACUUGAGUGUGUUUGAGGUAGGCGGAAUGCGUGGUGUAGCGGUGGAAUGCAUAGAUAUCACGCAGAACUCCGAUUGCGAAGGCAGCUUACUAGGCCAUAACUGACACUGAAGCACGAAAGCGUGGGGAUCAAACAGGAUUAGAUACCCGGGUAGUC